AAACUUCUAAAUUCCCCUUUUUCCACUCUCAAAGUCAUUAAAUAAUCUCUCUAAAACCAUUCAAGUGUUUUCAGGAGAAAAUUAAUAUAUUGAGUUUAAAGGUAAAGAAUUAAGUAGCUAGGCCUUAUUGAAAAACCAACUUUGGUGAGAACAGCCACCUACACAACAUUUUCUCCAAAAUCCUUAUUUCAUGUUUGGAAUCCAUAGAAUGUCCCGGGCAGGUGCAGAAUGUAUUAACAAUCAUGUAGUGAUUUGAAAACCCGGUUAUUUUAGUUUGAGGAGGUCCAUUUUUGCAAAUUUGGCGUCAAAAGUUUAAAAAAGAUGGCGACUGGGCAAAUUUUCGAAUGAUGCCAAAAAAUCAGUUUUUCAUGAGCACCAUGGAGAUAGUGGAAUUAUUAGGAGCGGACGUCAGCACGUCAGAGCGUGCAGGGCGUACACCUGUAAACAAACCAGGGCCUCUUCCUCUGUGCGGAUAGCUGCUUAAUUUGAUGGUUGUAGCUUUGCUAAAAAUAUAUCCAGAGCUGUUUCCUGAAGCAUCGGGUUCUUGAUCCCAUUUGUGAACUAAUUUACAGAUAUUCCUCAAAAAGCACCAACAGAUUAUUAUGAGUUUAAUAAAAUAAAAUAAAAAAUAAAUAAAUGAAAAGAUUGUGAAGAAGUAGUUGACUGUUAACGUUAUGGGCCUUCAGCCACAGCCUCAUCAGCUUAAAACUUGUAUUUGACAUGUUGGUAAUUUUAAUAACAUUGAAAUGCUCUUUGUUCCUUCCUGUGUUAUUCUCUUUGAGGAAAAAGAGAGGAGAGUGGUUGGUCAUGAAUCUGCCUGUGUGCAUUCUGCAUCCAGGACAUAUACAGUCUAUGGUCCAGGAUGCACCGUCUCCACGUCCCCGUUAUAUGCAGCUCAUAUAACUGGAGAAUAACCAGUUAUAAGCGACUGUUGGUGUUUACAUGGGCAUGUGUGGUUAUUUUGGGGAAGUCUUGUUGGUCAUAUUGCUUAUGAUUUAUUCGAAGUACCCACGAUUCAGCGUGCGUAAUGACGCAUGCAGUCCUGUAGCUGCGUUACUCAUCAAACUGGUUGGCUAUAUCUCUAUGAAGGUAAUUUUUGUGUCUUUAUUAUGCAGUCAAAAAAUAUAUUUGAGAGCAAAACUAUCGACACUGGAAUACAUUUUUUUUUAUUGCAAGUAAAAUGAAUUUGUGAUUUAAAAUGUGAUAAUGAAAGUUUUGCUUUUGAAACCGAAAGCUUUGCAUUUGAAACUAAAAGUUUUGCUUUUGAAACCGAAAGCUUUGCUUGCUGUUAGCUGACUCUCGUAGGCGGGACCUACGCUGAAAGAUGUAAGACACGUCCCUAUUGGUCGGCCUCUAUCAGAGUGACAGCUUGGCAACAUCCAUUGUUAGCAAGCAACGGACGGAGUUCCGUGGAAGACGAGCGGGAGCAGAAAGAAGACAGACAAUCAGUUUCAUUUCAAAUGCAAAGCUUUCGGAUUCGAAAGCAAAACUGGUUUCAAAAGCAAAACGUUGUUUUUCAUUAAUACAUUUUAAAUCACAAAUUACUUUUACUUGCAAUAAAAAAUGUAUUCCAGUGUCGAUAGUUUUUCUCUCAAAUCUAUUUUUUGAUUGUAUAAUAAAGACACAAAAUUACCCUCAUAUAUCUCAGUAUUUUACACAGUUCAUUGUACUUGCAAAAUUAUAUACUAUAACUAUGCUAUGCUAUAUACUAUGCUAUAUUAUGUUAUACUAUAAUUUCAAUAUGACUGGAUACAUUUUUAGAGAAAGAAAACUGGAAUGAAUUAUUAUGUGGAACUGUCGUAUGAGGGACGAAUGAGGGACUACACCGUCCUAUGUGGAACUGUGUUAUGCAAAUAUGGAUAAAUGACGACAAAUAUAUGUAAUCCAGCCAGUGUAAUUUUAAUUUUGUUUUGGAAGUCACUUUCAGACAUAAAACCCUUCUAAUAAGUUUCAUAGGACUUAUCAUGGGAUGGGGUGAAAACUAUCUCCUCUUAAAAGAUCAGUUGCCUUGCCUACUCCCCUUAAUCUUCUUUGUCCCACUGGCUGCAUUUUACUCUAAAAAUGGAUCUGAUUGCUAGGUGCAGGUGAUCAGAACCAUCAAUAAUGGAGGUAACAAUCUUCCUGUGUACAUCUCCUCUGAUGACGACGAUGAGGCACCUGAGAUUGUUAUUGUGAAUGAAGAAGGUGAGGACGUCCCCCCACUUUUCUCUGAUGACCAGAAGGUGAGGUUGAGAGCGAGUAUGAAGAAGGUGAGGUCAUCCCCCUGCUCUCCUCUGACGAUGAGGAUGAAGAGACCGAUGGCAGUAUUAACUUGUCCGACUGGGACAUCAGCAGUGAUGACUCUGGUUACGACACCAUGUCCGAUGAGGAGGAAGAGGAGUUUGAAGGCAGGCGACAAGUGUUUCCUCCUGUUCCUGCUGGUGCCCCUGUCGCUGCUCCUGUUGGUGUUUUCGCUGGUUUUCUGGUCGCUGCUCCUGUUGGUGUUUUCGCUGGUGCUCUGGUCGUUGCUCCUGUUGGUAUUCGGUUGCUGUUCCUCAGCGACUGAUAAUCAGGCACCUGCAGGUACCUGGUCAGCAUAAGCAGCCUGUGGGGCAGCAUCAGGAUCUACCUGAAGAUCAAUUGAGAGGACUCUGUCUUCGUGCGCGUGACGGCUUCUUGACAGCAUCCUCAGUAUCUCAGAACAGGAGAUGUGAGCAAAACUUUGUUGAGGGAAGUAGCUCUGAAGAGUCAGCUCCUUCAACUUCUGGCCUCAGCUCCUCCACAAAGAGGAGCAGCGCAGCGAGCUGGGAGCAGGUAAGUACGAAGAGGCCAAAGAGGUUUUUGUGAAGGAAAUCUCGGAGAGGAAGAAAGCUCCGGAGACCCAAUUCCAUCAACUUCUGGCCUCAGCUCCUCCACAAAGAGGAGCAGGGAAGACAACUGUGAGAAAGUUACUGCUAAGAGGCAGAGGAGCAGUACAGACACCCAAGGGGUGGCAGAAAGUUAUGAGGAGCCAAUUCCAUCAACUUCUGGCUUCAGCUCCUCCACAAAGAGGAGGUAGGUGCAUAGGUGGGAUGGAAGGCAGGAAGCAUUUUCCUUUCAGGCCCAGCUGCAGGAUGGUACCCUGCGUCCUCUGAUCCAUGGUCCCAGUUUAUUUUUAUAUUACUGAAACUUAAAUUUUAUGAUGUGUCAGUAGUUUACUGCUCCUCUAACACCUGACACCCAGAGAAAGAAAAACAACAACCUUGCAAUUAACAGAGAACCACUCAACCUUCACAACAUGUGGGAGAAAAGGUGAAUAUAAGCAUCUGACUUGGAAAGAAAAUUACAUUUGGCUAACAUAUAAAGUCACAGUUAUACUGUAUUGUAGGCUACUGUGUAUGAUAGCUAACAUAUAUAUUUGUUAAUCCAUUUAGGAUUACUUAUUCAAUAAGAAUUUCUAUCUUACUCAUUCUGUUGGUAUUUUUUUUAAUUUAGUUUACUUUUGUAGACUGCUGCACCAGAGGAUUUGGUAUACUUUUUCUGCCAGAGGUUCAGUAAUAAUUAAUAACACUAUUAUCACCUUUUUAAUAAUUAAAUGAUUAUCUAACUCACUCUUUUGAUUUUUGAUGUUUCUACUUUUUACUGAAACAGACAGAGGUAAGGCAAUAAUAACAAUAUUAACAAGUAUCUCCUGUACUUAUUUUUAUCUAUUUUAUUGUUAUUUAAUGAUUUGGUUCUCUGUUGUACUUUGAUGUUGUGUGUCAAUAUUUUUUAUUUACUAAGUAGAUGGCUAUAUCUGACAGAGGUAUGGUAAUAAUUAAUAACAUUAACAAAGUCUUUUAACAAGUCUUCUAUGUGUCUUUUCAUCACCAGUCAGAUAUUAUUUAUCUUACUCACUAGGUUGUUCUUUGAUUUUCUUUUUAACAUACUACAGCUAUCAAAAUCAGACAGAGAGUAGUGAGAGAAAAGUUUCCAGCAGUUUCCUUGAUGACAAAGAAGAAGUUCGUCCUCCUGAGCAGAUGAGAAGGAUGGCUGACCACAAGACAUGCUGGAGAGCGAUGGUCACCUGUGUUUUAGUCAACUAAGGCAGGACUCUUCCUGUGUCUUUGGCAUUCCUGGGGAAUCUGAGAGUGGAUGUGGACCAGCCAAUCAUCCCAGGACACCCUCGCACCACAGCAGUCCACUGAACCACUCUCAGCACCCUACUUGCUUCCAGACCCCGAACGUUAUCUGCCAGUGAGUCAACAAUUACAAGAAGAUACCACCCUCCUGGAUUGGUCCAGACUGUGCCUUCCUAUGUAGCCUACUGUUGACUAUUUUUUACAACUUGACUGGUUUGGUGUUGAAUUCUAUAAAAGACAACAUCAGACAUCUAAAAUGAUCAUGUGUUAUGCGACUUCCUUGACUCUCAGUGAUGUUAGGUUACUUUAUCAUAUUAAAUAGUCAAUCGGUGACAUGAUAUUUGUAAUAAUAUUUGGCUGAAAUGCUUCCAAAACAACUAUGUACAGUCAGCAGGGGCCUUUUGAACAAGCACACUUUUUUUUUUAAUUAACCAGAUAAAAAAACAGUUGAGAGAAAAUCUCUUUAAAUGGUGACCUGGCCAAGACGGCAGCAAAGUUACACGUUGAGUGCACACCAAUUACGAACAAUAAAAUACAAAACAAUACACUACCAGUGGUACAGAGUAAGAGUUAAUGUCCAUGCAGCAACAGCAGGGGUUAAAUGAACACAGAAAGUGUAUGACAAAAUUAAUUAUGCAUUGUAGCAAGAACAUUUUGUAAUACAGUAAAACUUCAGUUAGCCGUUGUUUAAAACUGGUUAGAUGAUGACAUACAUCAUCUAUUCAGAUAACUUGGUAAAAGCCAGAACAGUUCUUUUCACAUUAGUCAAUCUUCCAGAUUUUUAGCACCAUAUACAUAUAUAAUAUAUUUACUGAGAACUUGAUUCAAUGCAGCAGAUGUCAAAACAUACAGUACUGUGCACACAAUACCAUUCUUGCAGCACAGAUCUAGGAGGAAAUCAACCAGGGGUAACAAAGUUUAAAAAUCUAAAUUCUGUAUACAUACUGGUGUAUAUAAUUUAUAAUACAUGUGAGGCACAUUCAGCUGUUUUGUUUGAUAUGUGUUGUAAAUCACAGUUUUUAUACACAGUCACAUAAAUCACCAUAUACAGAAUGAAAGUUUCAUUAAAUAAACACAGAAGCUGGAUAAGUGGUCACAGAUCACACUAGAAAUAGUCGAUCAGGGCAGGGAAGUUAUUCAUCUUCUGUUUCUACUGAUGGUUUCUCACUCUUAUGUGGAACACUAGAUAUAUUGCUUGUGCUAUUUUUCAGAGAACAGUUUGCACCUUGUUCCAUUUACCAAUAGGCAAACGUGAUGGCGUACAUGUUUUAAAAGUAAUAUACAUGAACACUAUGUGCAUAUAUGUUCAACCAUACAGCAAAAAUAUAUUGACAUAUUUGAUUAAGGCAAAUACCUGCACAUUUAUGACAGAAAGUCGAUAUUAAUUGUCACCACAACCCAAAAAUUUAUUGAGCCAAAUACCCACAUCUUUAGUUUCUUCUCCAGUUUAAUUUGGAAAAAGCAACCACAGAAAUCACUGGUAAAAUAAAGUCUAAUUACUGAUGAUGUAUUGAAAUGGCCUCAAGGCAACAAAGCCUAAACAAUACAGAAAUACAGAUAAAUAUAAACAUGCACAUGUUUUUGCAUAUCUUUUUAGUAUGAUAUUUCUGUGCAUGUGUGCACAGGGCAGGGCAUCUCCCACCACUAUUCAAGGUCUGAAAACAUGAAAGGAUCCACUCUCAUAUAGACUACUGUUACAUUUCAAGGGUUAUUUUAUAUACUAUUAGAAUUUAAAUUUUUGGUUUAUUCACUUUUCUGCAACCUAUACUAUUUAUCUUAAAUUCAGUAUUUUCUCAGAGUUCCCUUUGAGCAGUUUCAGAAGAACAGGUACAAUAUUCAUAGCAAACAUAGCAAGAUUUUUUAUUUCAGUUGAGAAAAAGGUUGCACCACUUUCUAAAAAUGAAACAUUAUUCCUUUCUGGUCUAUUGAUGCUACUGUCAUUAGGACCUCUUCAUAUUCAGUCAUGGGUUUUGCCUGUGACACAAUAGCACAUCUCUGCUCCAUCACUGACACAACAUACUGUGUUUUUAUCUGGGUUCACUGUGUGUAUCAUAAUAAUGAUGAAUUUUCAACAUCAGCUCUUGUUCUCAUGUGUAUGAGUCUAAGAAGGUGUGUCAUCCUUACAUUUUUACAUAUUGAUGAUAUGGUUGCCAUUGGGUAAGUUGCGAGUUCCAAGCACGAAGAAGUAAGAGACAAGGGAAAUGUUGAAGCUGAAAGAUUAAAAAGAUGAAAAGUA